rnacentral:tRNA from 1 species
GGCCAGUGUGGUAUAGUGAUUUGAGCAUUGGACUAUGACUCUAGAGAUCAGGGUUUGAUUCCCCGCUUGGCCA